AAAAUAAAAUAAAGUAAAAAAAAUGUUUAUAUAUAAACAACCAUAUGUGAAUGUUCAGCUGGGUACCAAAAAAAAAUAAAAAAAAGUAAAAUGUAUAUAUGUAUAUAUGUAUGUAUAUAUGUGCACACGUGUACAGGUACGCACAAUUUAACCAAGCAUGUUUGAUCAAACAAUCACGCUAUGUUUUUAAUUAAAGAAUACGCACAAAAUAUGUACUUAUACAUGUAUAUGUGCAAAAUAUAUACAUUUUUAUUUUGAAAAAAAAGCUAGUAUAAUUUUCAUAAGAAGAAAAAUAUACACAUUGUAUGUAUUAACAUAAAUAAUAGUUAUAAACUAAUUAUAUCUGUGUCUUUCUCGAUCUUGUAAAAAUGUUGUGCUUAAAGUAAAAGUACACAAAUUAUUCACAUAUAUACAUAUAUAUAUUUAUAUAUAUGAGCAAUGUGCAGGAAUAAACUUAAACUUUGCUAUGUUUUGUAUUAUAUACAUAUGGUGCGCAAUUUUAUUUACCACUAUGUAUACGCACGUACGUGUACGUGUAUACGCAAAUCUAAAAAAAUUUUCAACCGACUAUAAAUAAAUGAAUUCUUAAAAAGACUUAUAGAAAAUAUUGUGCUUGUUCAUCAUAUAUAUUAGCAACAAAUUAAGAAAAAAAACGAAAUGUACAAUAGCAAUUUUGUAAACAAUAUUAUAUGUAUAUCUGUACAUACAUACAUAUAUACAUAUAUAUGUACACAUAUAUAUAUAUAUAUACACUAACUCUUUCUUAUUUUAAAUGAAACAUAUCACAUGCGGAGAAGCAUAAAUGUUCACAACGUGACAAAAUAGCAUAUGCUGUUUUAAAAAAAAAAAAUAAAUAAGUAAAAAAAAAAACAAUAAAAAUGGAAGUAUAAAAUAACACAAUUAUAAAAUUUCCACCCUCCAAAUUGUUAUUAUUAUUUUUAUUUUUAUUAUUAUUAUUUUUAUUAUUAUUAUUUUUAUUAUUAUUAUUUUUUUUAUUUAUACCAAUACCGUAUAAAUUUAAAUAAUAAUAGUAUAUGCUAUAUAUGUAUCUUUUUUUUAGUGAAUAUUUGUUUUAAAAGUUAUGCAUUUACAAAAAAAAAAAAAAAAAAAAAAAAAAAAAAAAAAAAAAAAAAUAUAUAUAUAUAUAUAUAUAUAUAUAUAUAUAUAGUAGCUGUAAUUUGAUUUUUGUUUUAUGAUUUCGAAUAUUGUAAUUAUUUAAAAUAAAGUAAAAUAAGUUUAUCGUAAAAUUUGAAAA
rnacentral:lncRNA from 1 species